rnacentral:rRNA from 1 species
UACGUAGGUGGCAAGCGUUGUUCGGAAUUAUUGGGCGUAAAGGGCGCGUAGGCGGCUUGUUAAGUCGGUUGUGAAAGCCCGGGGCUCAACCCCGGAAAGUCGACCGAUACUGGCAGGCUAGAGUACGGAAGAGGUAGCUGGAAUUCCCGGUGUAGCGGUGAAAUGCGUAGAUAUCGGGAGGAAUACCGGUGGCGAAGGCGACUCUCUGGACGGCAACUGACGCUGAGGCACGAAAGCGUGGGGAGCAAACAGG